rnacentral:misc_RNA from 1 species
AUCUUUUCCUACUUAAGAAAAUUUUGUAAAAACACAGCAGAAAAACCAUUAAUACUACGUUACAUUCACCAUCCAAAUCUUGUAUCAACGUGAAAGACACCAUUUAGUUUCGUCCAUAACGAGACGCAUUUUUUAUUCUUGUGUUUCUACAUGAACAUCUGGUUUCGACAUCAUUCACAGCUGAGCAGAGUUCUUAGCAAUGGCCCCAGCAUCAUUAAGAAGAGGCAAGAGCUCACCUUUUUGGUACUUCUCCAGCGUAGAGUCGCAACCACCGAUGUGUUUUCCACCAAUAAACACGUUAGGUACGGUGCUUAGCCCAGUCCACUGUGCCAAUGCUGAUUGAAUCGCAGAUCCAUCACUUUCCUCGUCCAGUUCAAUGACCUUGAAGCUUGAUCCUAACUGGGUCAGCAGCUGCUUGACCCUCUUGCAAUAACCACAGUAGGUUUUGCUGAAAACGACGACAGGAGCAGAGGUGGAAGUCUCCUUGGCCUUAUCAAGUGCCAACUGAAUUUCUUCUUUGGAGGAAGAGGAACUCAAGAUCGAACCCAUUUGGGUGUCUUGUCAAUUGCUA